GUGCUAAUCUGCGAUAAGCGCCGGUAAGGUGAUAUGAACCGUUAUAACCGGCGAUACCCGAAUGGGGAAACCCAGUGUGACUCGUCACACUAUCAUUAACUGAAUCCAUAGGUUAAUGAGGCGAACCGGGGGAACUGAAACAUCUAAGUACCCCGAGGAAAAGAAAUCAACCGAGAUUCCCCCAGUAGCGGCGAGCGAACGGGGAGGAGCCCAGAGCCUGAAUCAGCAUGUGUGUUAGUGGAAGCGUCUGGAAAGGCGCGCGAUACAGGGUGACAGCCCCGUACACAAAAGCGCAUGUGCUGUGAGCUCGAUGAGUAGGGCGGGACACGUGGUAUCCUGUCUGAAUAUGGGGGGACCAUCCUCCAAGGCUAAAUACUCCUGACUGACCGAUAGUGAACCAGUACCGUGAGGGAAAGGCGAAAAGAACCCCGGCGAGGGGAGUGAAAAAGAACCUGAAACCGUGUACGUACAAGCAGUGGGAGCACAGGUUUACCUGUGUGACUGCGUACCUUUUGUAUAAUGGGUCAGCGACUUAUAUUCUGUAGCAAGGUUAACCGAAUAGGGGAGCCGGAGGGAAACCGAGUCUUAAUUGGGCGUUAAGUUGCAGGGUAUAGACCCGAAACCCGGUGAUCUAGCCAUGGGCAGGUUGAAGGUUGGGUAACACUAACUGGAGGACCGAACCGACUAAUGUUGAAAAAUUAGCGGAUGACCUGUGGCUGGGGGUGAAAGGCCAAUCAAACCGGGAGAUAGCUGGUUCUCCCCGAAAGCUAUUUAGGUAGCGCCUCGUGAAUUCAUCUCCGGGGGUAGAGCACUGUUUCGGCUAGGGGGCCAUCCCGGCUUACCAACCCGAUGCAAACUGCGAAUACCGGAGAAUGUUAUCACGGGAGACACACGGCGGGUGCUAACGUCCGUCGUGAAGAGGGAAACAACCCAGACCGCCAGCUAAGGUCCCAAAGUCAUGGUUAAGUGGGAAACGAUGUGGGAAGGCCCAGACAGCCAGGAUGUUGGCUUAGAAGCAGCCAUCAUUUAAAGAAAGCGUAAUAGCUCACUGGUCGAGUCGGCCUGCGCGGAAGAUGUAACGGGGCUAAACCAUGCACCGAAGCUGCGGCAGCGACACUGUGUGUUGUUGGGUAGGGGAGCGUUCUGUAAGCCUGUGAAGGUGU
rnacentral:rRNA from 1 species